CUGCCCGUGGGGUUUUGCACGCCCGGUUGCACGGGGACGCUGCAGGAAGGGGUUUUGCCCGUGGGGUUUUGCACGCCCAAUUGCACAGGGGCGCUGCAGCAAUGGUUUUUACACACCCGGUUGCACGGGGGCGCUGCAGGAAGGGGUUUUGCACUUGGGUUUUUGCGCACCCGGUUGCACGGGGGCGCUGCAGGAAGAGGUUUUGCACGCCUGGUUGCACGGGGGCACUGCAAGUGGGGUUCUGCCUGUGGGAUUUUGCACGCCCGGUUGCACGGGGACGCUGCAGUGAUGGUUUUUACACACCCGGUUGCACGGGGGUGCUGCAGGAAGGGGUUUUGCACUUGGGUUUCUGCGCGCCUGGUUGCACGGGGGUGCUGCAGGAAUGGUUUUUGCGCGCCCGGUUGCACGGGGGCGCUGCAGACGAGGUUUUGCGCGCCCAGUUGGAUGUGGGCAGUGCAGGCACGGUUUUGCACAUGGGGUUUUACAUGCCUGGAUGCACAGGAGGCCUCUAGCGGCGUUUGCUCGACGGUUAAUAUUCGCGGGGGCAGCGUGCAUCAGGAGAGCCUUGCUUUAAGGCCCGACGUAAGCUCCUGCGAUAGCGCGGCGACGAGCCGGGAGGUGGCCACGGCUGGCGGCGGAUUUGGGUCUCGCCGGGGCUCCUGCAAGACGCUCGCUUCUCCUUCGCGCCCCCCGGAGCGGCCUUGCUGCCAAGCCGGCUGCUUCUCGAAACUUGCGUCGUGCUCACGACCGCAGGCUGCGUCCAUCCUUGCUCUCCGUCGCCCGUCGGAAGCGCACGUGGCGGAUGCAAGAAAUUGAGUUAAGAGCAAUUACGGAAGGGCCGUUCCUGGAUGAUUUACAGCAGCGCAACAGCUGGAAAAGAAACGUCGCUGUCGGUCGCCCUGCAAACGCCGCGGGGGCUCGGUCCGAAAGCAGCUCGGUUAAAGCGGCGACCUGCAGCGAGG
ensembl:lncRNA